AAACAAUGAAUAUGAUGCCCACAUACACACAAAUAGUCAAAAGUUAAAGAACAAACAUGUACUACGUCUUUUUACCCACACACACCAAUUCAUCACCACAACACUAUAAUGAGUGCUGAGAAAAAAAAGCAAAAGAAAAACGAGUCUAAGUGGUGGGUGAGGCAAUGACCAUGAUUGUGCCCUGUGCUUCUAUAUCCAACCAUGUCUUCCCGAUUUCCUGCAUACCCCAACGCGCAUAACCCCACUUCCAAAAACCAAAAUAUGGCCAUAUCCCCACUUUCUUAGAUGCAAAGCAAUAAACCAUAAUCAUUUAGUGAUAACCACCUUAUAUAUUAACAUUAUUAUAUACAGGCUUUCUCUCCUUUUGUUUCUUUUUUUGUUCUGAUACCUGUCCAUUACUGAUAACAGACACAGCUAAAAGGGUGGAUAUGCAUGGUAUAUCAAUACAUAGGGAGAACACAUACAGCGAGAUAUAUCAAGUUUAACCUCAUUGACUGUACUCCUGGCGGCCUCGGGGCAGAACAGGUGCACUUCUUUGGUGUGCUCUUGCUAUGUACCUUCAAGAAACUUUAUCAACAAAGGUGAAGAAAGCAACAAAACUGAGAGGGGAUCCUUCGCAGAAAAGAAAGAAUAUGGGGUCAUGGAAGAAGUCAGUACUUAUGAAUCAGUACAGGAUCAUCAAAAGAGCAAUGGUGGAAGAAAUAGGAGAAGCAGUAGUCCUUGUGGGUCUAAUAAUGGACCUCACAUAGAAACUUCUACUCUCAAGAGUAAUCUCAAGAAAACUGCUUCUACUACUACAAUUGAGGAAAAUCAAGCAAGGACAGAUCAUCAAAAGAGGAAAGUAAGUUGGCCUGAUAUUGCAUAUGGCACAGAUAUUGCUCAUGUUCUUGAAUUUGAACCGAGCAUCUCUGAUGAUGGAGAACUUGAAGGAGCAAGGAAUUCUUGUGUUUGUACAAUUCAAUGAACAAGAAAUCCUGCCAUAGGUGUUUGGACAACAUAGGUAGUAACAAUAAAAACAGGAAGGCCACCAAAAGGCAGGGGCCCUACCUAGCAAAGCAUAUGUAGGUGCAUGAUCAUGACGACAUGAGUUUGAUUCCUUUAGCCAUCAUAUGAAGGUAAUUUUGUAUUUGGGUAAUGCACACAAACUUCGAUUGAGAUUUUUGUUUCAAAGAAGAGGCCUGAAUCCUAAACCAAUCAGAGGAUUGAGAACAUGGGUGCCUGCUGAAAUUUUCUAUAUAUGUUUUUAGAGCAGGUUGCAUGUAUCUAUGGUUAGUCCAUGAGGGUCUGCCUUCAAACAACCAAAAAGCAACGUAUCAGAAGUAGCUAAUGAUCUCUGUGAGGUUCUGGGGAUAAAUAAAAAUCUGAAGGCAUGUACACAUCAAGAAGAAAUAUGGCUUCACAUCAAUCUGUCCUAUUAUCUUUAAUGGGAUAUGUGUCUGAAGCCUUCUUAAUAGGCUAGGGACAAAGAACGAUGGUAUUAAAUUAGGUUUUUUGGAAAAGUAAAGGUACAGAAUCAGGAUGGUCACAGGACCAGUUAAGACAGUUGUAUUGUCAACAUGAACAAAAUACUACGAAUGCAUACUCAUAAGAAUCAAUGUAUACACGGAAUUAGAACUGUCCCUUUCAGGACAAAGUCCUAUCAUUUUUAGAAAUCCAAAACACUUCGACAAGGAAAUUUAAAACACUUGAUAACGCCGUAUAAAAUAAUCUGCCUCUUGUUCUUGGAGAACUGUCUUUCUUUUUCAAAAAAGUCCCACUCAGUUUUCUAACAGUUACAAUCUUCUCUUCUUGCAGAUGGAUCUCCUGGUGAUGCAAUUCUUCAAGAGCAUUUCACAGUAUUCACAUUCUUGUAUUUAUUUGCAUAGAAUAAGUCCUCUAGAACAUUGAAGAUAGAAAACAUGUGUAGAAAACAAAAGGGCUGUGAAAAUUUUCCAGGAUUCUUUUAUUUAAUGCUUGCCCAUGUUGCACGAC